ensembl:lncRNA
CUAUGGUCUGGUGCUGUCUGCUAUGGUCUGUCUGGUCUGGUGCUGUCUGCUAUGGUCUGUCUCGCCUGGUGCUGUCUGCUAUGGUCUGUCUGGUCUGGUGCUGUCUGCUAUGGUCGGUCUGCUAUGGUCUGUCUGGUCUCGUGCUGUCUGCUAUGGUCUGUCUGGUCUGGUGCUGUCUGCUAUGGUCUGUCUGGCCAGGUGCUGUCUUGUCUGGUGCUGUCUGAUAUGGUCUGUCUUGUCUGGUGCUGUUUGCUAUGGUCUGUCCGGUCUGGUGCUGUCUGCUAUGGUCUGUCUGGCCAGGUGCUGUCUGCUAUGGUCUGUCUGCUAUGGUCUGUCUGGUCUGGUGCUGUCUGCUAUGGUCUGUCUAGUCUGGUGCUAUCUGCUAUUGUCUG